CAUAGAGCUGCAUAUUCAGGCCGGCCGCUAUAUCAAAAUAUUGUAGAACACCCCCUUCAGGCACUCAACUGUAUUUACUCCACAGACUACGAUUCGUUUUGCAGCCAGUUUUUCCUCCCAAGGAACUGUGGGAACUGUAGUUUGAUGAGAGGGAGGUAUAUUUAACAGAAAUCUACGGUACUGGCAGGAACAGAGGAAGCUGCCUUUUGCUAAGCCAGAUCAUUGGUCUAUCUAGACCAGCAUUGUCUGCACGGACUGGCAGCAGUUCUACAGGGUUUCAGGUUCUAACCUUCACUGGGUGCAGGACCCCAAGAACAGGAAGGGCCUCAGGGCCUCAUCCAGACACACCCUGAAAACCCACAAGAACAACAACGACAACACCAAGUCAGUGAAAACCAAUAAAUUACCGCAUUAAGAACCGUGAGCAGUGCAAAGUGGAAAUGUUUCAGCACCUCAAAAACUGUUUCAAAAUGCAGAAUAAUAUUUGCCCUUUUUGAAAUUGCUUUCAGAGGCUCGCAGGCAUACAGGGCUCUAAGCGUGGGGCAACUGGAGUGUUAAGGAAAGUGUUAGGGGGCGGAGAGGUGAUUAGGAAUGACUGGCUAAAUGAGAGUUGUAAUUAUUCCAUAAAGCACUCCAUGCUAGCAAUUACCCCCUCCCUCCCCUGCCCCCAGCCUCUGUCCCAGAUUAAUGAUACUUCUGCCACUGUUUUCCAUGUCAGAGAAGCGCCCAUCCAAUUUGGGAAAGCAAUUAGUGCGAAAUGAGACGGCAGCGGCUGACUGUAAUGGGCCAUCUUAAGUGUCACUUGUCUGUGAAACUGCGCAGGGACUCGAGUGAUGUAUCCUGCCGAACGGGGCAUUGUAAAUAUGCCAUCAUAAUGAAGCUUCACACAUACACACACACACACACAGAAGCAAUGCUACUUGUCUCAGUCACUCCGACAAGCAAAUUGAGCAGAACUAUAGACUGCCACCACCUCCCGCUAGACACUGACUCGGUGCCUUUAUGCUGUCUCAGUGAGGCAGACUUUGCCAACCUAGGGCCCUCCGGAUGUUUUGGACUAUGAUUCCCAUCAGCCACAACCAAUGCAUGCUGGCCGGCACUGAUGGGAAUCGUAGUCCAAAAGAUCUGGAGGGCCCCAAGCUGGCAAAGCCUAUAGUGAGGGCUGUGGCCUAAAGUUUAUUGAUUCCCUGGAAUCUCGCACCACUCAGGGAUUGGGGUGGCGAGCAACAGCAACAUUCAGUGCUCCCCCACCCCCCUGCUUUCAGGUGCCACAAGACUUUCUGGGUUGUAUCGGAGCAAGUUUUGCUCGGAGUAAAAAAUGAAAAUGAAAAAUGGAAUGGGGCCACUCUGAGUACAACCAGUACUGGACACACCCCCUUGCUUUUUUUUGCUGCAGCAGAUUUAACACGCAAAUACAGAGAAACUCCCUGAAGCUAGAUCUAGAUUUUUUGCUGGCAAUGAGUCUUUGUGACUGCCAGACUUUUAAGAUAAGAUCUUACCUGAAAGGCAGGUACAAAUCUCUUCUUAAAAACGUUUCCAAAUGCCAUUUGUAUUGAAAUUCUAAAAUUACCUUUGCUUACAUAUAUACAAGCUGUGUUUUUGUUCUAUCCUUAAUUAUGUAUCCAUUUGAUAUCAAUGGUGUAGGCUGUCACUUUGUAACAAGCAGCACUUCCUGAUGGUAUAUUUUGAUAGUAGCAACUAUUGGUGCCAGUACGAAAGGUUAGUUUCAGGCUUUUUGGUAUGCAAAAUAUGAUUGUUUUAAAGCAAAUUAUGUUUUCUGACAAUUGUUUUUUCUAAAAGCUGACAAAUGCUACUCUAGAUUUCCCAGAUUCCAGAUAACCAAGGCACACCUUUUCUGCAUUAAAAUAGGGGUAUGCUUUUUUCUUACAUCUCCAUCCCACCCCCACUCCCAGUUUACUACUUUUAGAGUGUAAAAUAUUAAAAAUAACCUGCCCCCAGAAGACCUUGCUCCACCCGCCCUUUGGUUUCUGCACGGGCUGCUGAUCUGGACUUCCCUUUUGUGCAGAAGGAUGCAAAGCCAGGGCAGUGACUCAUACUGAAGUGCAACAGGCACCCUCCUCUGGAAUCAGGCAAUUCUUCAGCCUCUCUGCUUUGGCAACGAAUGGCUGCUCCAAUCCAUGCAAGGACAGGACAAAGUUACCUACUUGCAGUGUUGACAAAUUGGAAGAAGGCAAAGGCAAAGCAGCGACUCAUACAGAGAAGCAGCAGGCAGUCUCCUUCAAGGGUGGACAAUUCUGCAGCAUCUCCAGAAUGGAGGAAAUUGACUGAUUGAUCAACCUGUGCUCAAUGCAGCGAGUCAUCUGGCUGACUCCCUAGCAGCAGUGCUGAGAAAGGCCAGCUGGUCUGUUCUGUGAAUGGGAUUUUUAGAAGCAUUUCUCUUUUUGAUUUGUUUAUUCCUCGUGUCAACUAUGGUUUGAGGAGAGAUGUGAAGGAGGGGCAAAAAGUAGUGUGGCUGGUAGCCUGGAAAGAACAUUGCAGGAAAAGCCUACGUCGGCUGAUGGUAGCUAAUCUCUCUCCCUCCUUCCCUCUCAUUGCCCCAAACCAUCGAAGUGGUGUAGAAAAUGGCUUUAUUAUACUGACUGCCUAAAUGAAUCACCCCAAAUUUAGACUUGGUGUUGUUCACUGUUUAAAAGCCAAAGAGGAUUAUCCUGUGCCGUCCUCUUUGAGGGCUGACUCACUUCAUUCUUCAUUCAUAACCUGGGGGAUGUGUGUCUAUAUAGCCCUUUCUAAGAAGCACUGAGUGGGGUGUGGGGUGAGGAGAGGAAAUCAGUGAGUUGCCAUUAUGUACAAGUGGGAACCACAACCGAGUGUUGCAGCGCACUUCCUCAGUGCUUAACAUGAGUGCUCCUGAGCAGCCAUGCCCUCCUCCAGAAAACCCAAUUUCCUUCCUCUUGCCACCUAGUUUUCUCAAUCAGUCAAUCACAUUUUUAUGAGGUGGCCACUUAAAAACAAAAUAAAACCCCAAAUUGAUGUGUGCAAUUUUUAAUAUAAAACAAGCUAAGUUAUAUCCUGCAUGCUAUAGGGGUUAGAGGGUUUGACUGGGACCUGGGAGACCAGGGCCUUAAUCGCUACUUGGUUAUGAAGUUCAGUGGGUGACCUUGGGCCAGUUAGAGUGCCUCAGCCUACCUCACAGGGUUGUUGUGGAGAAGUAGGGGACCCAUAUAUGCCACCUUGAGCUCCUUGGAGGAAAGGUAACUGUAAUAAUACAAUUAAUAAAUAUAUAAAAAGUAAAGCUGACGGUAUCCUUUACAAAACUAUGCAGCAAAAGGGGGGGGGCUAUUGUUUUCAUUGUUGCUUUAUUCAUAUUGGCUAAUAAGUAGGGACAACAAUAAAUGAUUUCAUGGGUACUUUAGUAAAAUGGGAGGAAAUCCCUUUUGCUCAUAUCUAAAAAAGGUGCAUGCAGAAAAAUCAUGAAUUAGUGUUUCUGUUGCUCUGUCCUCACAGGGAAAGAAUUGCUCAUUGUAAGAAAUACCCCCAAAGUGGAAAGAAGGCAAUUAAAUCUUUCCCUUAGAAUAGAUCAGCCAAUAUUUGAGAACAGUUGAUAUUUCCUCCACACUGUCGGCAUUUUGCCUGAGAAUGUCAAACCAAAGUGUCCUUUGGUUGUUAAGGGGAGUUCAGCUGUUCUUGUUGCUUGUAUCAAUUAUAGGUGUUUUGUGUGACUUCUUUUAAUAGUGUUGUAAGUUGCUUGGAGACCUGUGUAUAACAAGCAAAAAAUAAAUACCAGAACUUCAGGUAUGCAAACUUGAAGUGGAUCAAAGUGCCCUGUCUCCUUUUUUUUAAAAAAACAACCAACAACCAACAAUCCACUUAAAAACACCACCACCAAACCAGACUUUUGUGGUUUGAAAGGGGCAGAGAAACAUAUUUAAAAGUGUGGGGGUAAAUGAAUGACUUAACAGGAGGACAGAUAAACACCUCACAAGCAAAUCAGAACGAAUGCAGAAUAAUUGUCUCACAAUAAAAUCAGAACAAAUGCUCCAUAAAGGCCUAAUACAGUCUAACCGUUGCAUAAACUUUGGGCAAGCAAAUCAGAAUGCUGAAGGAACCAGACAUUUGAAGGAACCACAAGUUGUCGAGAAUAAUCUUGGCAGGACUCUUAGACGUCAACACACAGGCCAAGAUGAGCUGGAGGACUUUUAAAAAAUAAAAUAAAAUGAGGACCAUCAGCACCCUAAAUCUAAAGCAAGGAUCCCCAAACUUCGGCCCUCCAGAUGUUUUGGCCUACAACUCCCAUGAUCCCUAGCUAACAGGACCAGUGGUCGGGGAAGAUGGGAAUUGUAGUCCAAAACAUAUGGAGGGCCGAAGUUUGGGGUUGCCUGACCUAAAGGUUAAGAAUGUAUUUUGUCUGGCAAUAGCCCCGAGGAAGAGGAAAAUUUCCUAAUAAUUACAGUUUAUUGCUAAAAGCUUUGGGCACCAUGAGCUUGACAUAACUGCUCUUUUGAAGAAGGCACAGGUAACCUGAAGAUGUAUUAAAAGAAACGAUGUUUGUGUUUGAAGGUUAAGGAACAAGCAAGUCCCUCAUCCACCCAUUUCCAACACAAUUAUGUCUUCACAUCCAAAUGGGUGGCGUUUGUGAAAAGGAAAUGAUGACUUUAUGUAGCUUUUCUGAACUCUAUGACAAUAGCAUUUUUAAGAGGCAGAAAACCACCCACCAUCAUCUCCUGGCCUGCUCUGCCAGCGUUUCUGGCUCAUUUCCUUUAAGCAAGGCAUUUGUCAGGCAACAUAGCAUUUACACAAAGCUGUUAGUAGAGAGCAAGUGGGAAUUAUGCAGCAGAGGGGGCUGAAAGGCUGGAUCUCUCCAUGGGGAGGUCCCCCUCUGAUGUCAACUCUUAUCUCAGAUGCUGAAUCACCCCUUUUUGGUUCUUGCUGAGUCAGGGCCUGUUCUGGGGUGGGGCAGUGGGAACGGGGUGUGUGUGUGUGUGUGUGUGUGUGUGUAAGUGUAGGCAGGCACCCUAGAGAUUUAUUCCUC